rnacentral:rRNA from 1 species
GCCCCGGGCUCAACCUGGGAAUUGCAUUCGAGACUGCAUGGCUAGGGUGCGGAAGAGGGAAGCGGAAUUUCCGGUGUAGCGGUGAAAUGCGUAGAUAUCGGAAGGAACACCAGUGGCGAAAGCGGCUUCCUGGUCCAGCACCGACGUUCAGGCACGAAAGCGUGGGGAGCAAACAGGAUUAGAUACCCUGGUAGUCCACGCCAUAAACGAUGAGAACUAGACGUUGAAGGGGUAAGCCCUGCAGUGUCGUAGCUAACGCGCUAAGUUCUCCGCCUGGGGAGUACGGCCGCAAGG